rnacentral:rRNA from 1 species
AUUGAACGCUGGCGGCAGGCUUAACACAUGCAAGUCGAGCGGGGGAAGGUAGCUUGCUACCGGACCUAGCGGCGGACGGGUGAGUAAUGCUUAGAAAUCUGCCUAUUAGUGGGGGACAACAUCUCGAAAGGGAUGCUAAUACCGCAUACGUCCUACGGGAGAAAGCAGGGGAUCUUCGGACCUUGCGCUAAUAGAUGAGCCUAAGUCGGAUUGGCUAGUUGGUGGGGUAAAGGCCUACCAAGGCGACGAUCUGUAGCGGGUCUGAGAGGAUGAUCCGCCCCACUGGGACUGAGACACGGCCCAGACUCCUACGGGAGGCAGCAGUGGGGAAUAUUGGACAAUGGGGGGAACCCUGAUCCAGCCAUGCCGCGUGUGUGAAGAAGGCCUUAUGGUUGUAAAGCACUUUAAGCGAGGAGGAGGCUACUCUAGUUAAUACCUAGGGAUAGUGGACGUUACUCGCAGAAUAAGCACCGGCUAACUCUGUGCCAGCCGCCGCAGUAA